UACGUAGGGUGCAAGCGUUGUCCGGAAUUAUUGGGCGUAAAGAGCUCGUAGGCGGUCUGUCGCGUCGAAUGUGAAAAUCCGGGGCUCAACUCCGGACCUGCAUUCGAUACGGGCAGACUAGAGUUCGGCAGGGGAGACUGGAAUUCCUGGUGUAGCGGUGAAAUGCGCAGAUAUCAGGAGGAACACCAGUGGCGAAGGCGCCGCUCUGGGCCGAGACUGACGCUGAGACGCGAAAGCGUGGGGAGCAAACAGG
rnacentral:rRNA from 1 species